rnacentral:rRNA from 1 species
UACGAAGGGGGCUAGCGUUGCUCGGAAUUACUGGGCGUAAAGGGCGCGUAGGCGGCACUGUUAGUCAGGCGUGAAAGUCCUGGGCUCAACCUGGGAACUGCGCUUGAUACGGCAGAGCUAGAGGAUGGAAGAGGGUCGCGGAAUUCCCAGUGUAGAGGUGAAAUUCGUAGAUAUUGGGAAGAACACCGGUGGCGAAGGCGGCGACCUGGGUCGAUACUGACGCUGAGGUGCGAAAGCGUGGGUAGCAAACAGG